rnacentral:rRNA from 1 species
ACAGGGAUUGCCCUAGUAACGGCGAGUGAAGCGGCAACAGCUCAAAUUUGAAAUCUGGCGUCUUUGGCGUCCGAGUUGUAAUUUGCAGAGGGCGCUUUGGCAUUGGCAGCGGUCCAAGUUCCUUGGAACAGGACGUCACAGAGGGUGAGAAUCCCGUACGUGGUCGCUAGCCUUUACCGUGUAAAGCCCCUUCGACGAGUCGAGUUGUUUGGGAAUGCAGCUCUAAAUGGGAGGUAAAUUUCUUCUAAAGCUAAAUACUGGCCAGAGACCGAUAGCGCACAAGUAGAGUGAUCGAAAGAUGAAAAGCACUUUGGAAAGAGAGUUAAAAAGCACGUGAAAUUGUUGAAAGGGAAGCGCUUGCAGCCAGACUUGCCUGUAGUUGCUCAUCCGGGUUUUUACCCGGUGCACUCUUCUAUAGGCAGGCCAGCAUCAGUUUGGGCGGUUGGAUAAAGGUCUCUGUCACGUACCUCCUCUCGGGGAGAACUUAUAGGGGAGACGUAAUGCAACCAGCCUGGACUGAGGUCCGCGCAUCUGCUAGGAUGCUGGCGUAAUGGCUGUAAGCGGCCCGUCUUGAAACACGGACCAAGGAGUCUAACAUCUAUGCGAGUGUUUGGGUGUCAAGCCCGAGCGCGUAAUGAAAGUGAACGGAGGUGGGAACCUUUCGGGGUGCACCAUCGACCGAUCCUGAUGUCUUCGGAUGGAUUUGAGUAAGAGCAUAGCUGUUGGGACCCGAAAGAUGGUGAACUAUGCUUGAAUAGGGUGAAGCCAGAGGAAACUCUGGUGGAGGCUCGCAGCGGUUCUGACGUGCAAAUCGAUCGUCAAAUUUGGGCAUAGGGGCGAAAGACU